UGUGUCUACAGCUGGGUCGAUGACGAGCCGCAAAGUCAAUGCCAAUUGGAAGCAAAAAAGAAGAGGCACACAUAAUGUAAGACCGGGAGACAGGCGGACGGGCAGUCAGCCAGUCAGACAUUUAGCGUAUAGUCGCCAUAAAAAUAGCAAAUAAAGACAAAGGCGAAGGCAAAGGCAAAGGCAUUGCCGCGGAUGCAACCAAACAAGAAAGAAAUUACUAAUUGGAAAAUUUUGCCGGCAUGCGGCGAAAAUAAAGACGCAGAUUGAAAAAAAAGAGCACAUCAAUCCAGCAUUGUAAAAGCCAAUAUACUCUAUUGCUCUUAACGAACGGGGUAUAUAAAUCUGAUACUGAAAUGAAUUUGCGCAGUGAAGCGGGCCCCUAACUAGACAAUUGAAUUAUGCAGGCAAGGCUUAAAUUAAAGAGUACUCGAAACGGCAGCAGCAGCAACAGUAACAGUAACAGCAGCUGCUAGCGCUCUGUCUCCCUGCCUGCCGCUUUUCUCUUUUGCUAUAAUUGCUUUAAUGGACAUACGCUAAAAUGUAUGUAGCUCGAAAACUAGAAAGAACAAAAUUAAAUGUGAAAUAUGAAUUAUGAAUGCUGUGCCACACGUCAAUGGACGGCAGGGCAGCAUGAGCAGCGGCAGCAGAAGUUGAGCAACAAAGUUGCUGAUUCAUCAGAGUCUAAUACGAAUACAAUAAAUUGUAUAUGUAUAAAUAUAUAAGAAAAUCACAUUAAAACUAUGCCAUAUAAAAUAUAUACGCCAGUUCUAUUGACUAAUUUAAGCGUGACUCACGAUGAAUCUAACGAUGACGACGAUAGUAUUUCUAGGCCAUUCGAUCAGGGCUGCCCAAUGUUAGCUACUCUUGUGCGUGCAAUUCUAGCUAUUUUUAAGGCACAAUUGUUUUAUUAGCUUUUACUCAUCAAAUUUAGCCAAUUGUAAUUUUAAAGCUAGUCACUGCAGCUAAAUGGCUAAAUUUCUAUCGAUAGUUGGCUGCACUCUGAAUGGCGAUCCGAUGCGCUGGAAAGCUCCGGAAGAGAGAGCGAGAGCAUCGUAGCGAGCGAAUGGUAGCGAGGGUCGGUGAGAGAUUGCAUGCAAAUUUUCAGCCGUAACGAAAAGCGUUUGCCAAACUGAAAUUCAAUUCGCGUCAAAUACAUACAUAUAAAAAUAUUUAAGCAUUGUUGUAUUUAUUGUGUACAUUAAAAACAGCGCAAAACUUGAUGCCGAUGACAUCAGCGAGCGCAAAAAAUAAGAACUAAAUGCCAAAGCCGUAAAGCAAAAGGCACGCAGGCUACAAAGAGAGGAGACAGAGAAUGAGAGUGUGUGUGGAGAAGAGAGCGUGCAAGCGGCUUGUUUACUGUUUAACAAAAAAAGAGUGACUAAGUAACAAAUAUAAAACCAAGAACAGUAACAACAACAGCAACAACAUCCGCUCUGUAACAGAGUGACCAGAGCGGCGAGGUGACGUUUACGCCCAAAGGUGCGGUCGAGGAUACGCAGGAGGGAAUGAGACAAAAAUAACAACAAAACACAAAUGAACAAAAAAACAUUAUGACUAGUUGUCAGGCACAAAAACUAAUUAGAUACAGAAUGAUAACGAAAAACAAUAAUAUAUAUUUAUGUAUAUGUCAGAUACAUAUAUUUUAUACACUUGCUGCAGAUAUAUUGUACUUAUCAGAAUGAUCACCUAAUAAAGAGCGAAUUGCUAAACGGGCUUUAUCAAAACUUGGCAAUUUCGCCAAUUUGAGGAUUGUAAAUAUGAUAUCAAUGCUCAGAGAUUCAAAUCUAUACCAAUAAACGGAAAGAAAUAUAGGAAA